rnacentral:lncRNA from 1 species
GAAACCUCUUCUUUGCUGUCGGCACUCGCGAUGAGACACCGUCGAUGCUGAGCCACCAGCCAAUGCCACAUUGUGCCAACCCUGCAUCGCUGGUAACUGAUUGCACUCAUGAUGGCGUGAUGUGAGCAGUGAGCCUCAUGCCCCUCUUUUUUCUUUCUUUCUUUCUUUUUUUAUUUUUUAGGUUUUUGUUCUUUUAGUUCGUUUUUUGAUUUAUUGUUUAUGAAAUUAUGAGUUAUCAGUUAAAUUAAUCAGUUCUAAUUUAUGAAUUUAUGAUUUUAUGUUUUAUGAGUCUUGCUUUGAGUCUGACUUGUGAGCCUACUGUUAGUAUUUAUGAAAAUUGGGGAUUUUGGAAAUGAAAACUGUCUUUUAUCCGUGGACUUUUGGAAUCUAUUAGUAUUUGUGAAAUUUGGGAAUUUUGGAAAUGGAAACUUGACGAUAGUUUAAGGAUUUAAUUUGUGAUUUACGUUUGAUCUGGUUUAUCUUUAAUUUUCGUAGAUAUAUGAAACGAUUUUUUCAACCGAAGCAAAAAGUCCCUUGUUAGUGCAUCUAUAUAUUAAAAUAGAAUAAUGUUUAAUAUUAUUUAAUUAAAUAUUAAGAAACAAUCUCGCAAUUGUGAUCGUCGACGAUCAACGACCGUUCUAGUUGGCUCCAAUUUCUAGAUCCACCAUCGAUAAAAAGAAAUUAUGCUCAAAAAGAAUUUUUAAGUAUACUUAUAUACGUCAUUUUUUUGAGAUGAAUGAAAUUUGACUAACAUGUUCAUUCAUAAAUUGUUGAUGAUAAAGGUCAAAUAUUGAGAUGUGGUUUAAGAUUGGCGGGAAGUGUUCGAGGUUUUCUAUAGAGGAGUUAUGCAUUGAUGAUUACUCAAAAUUUCAACUUUUUUAUUUUUUCAAAGAUGCUUUAUUGAUGAACAAACUAAAAUUAGUACUAGUCAUGCUACACAAACAUCAAAAUUGACAUAAUAUUACAUGAUAUUUUAUCAUUAGACAGUUUAAAAAAUAAUCAACUUUUUCAUCCAAUUAUUUACUACCACAUGCAAUUAUGUCAAAUUAUUUCGACAAAGUAGCUUUAUUCAAAUGGGUCAGCCCCCCGGUCAAACCCCAUCCAUAGUUGUGGGGGUCCAUUUUUUCCCCGUGGGAACCCCCAUGGAUGGGUUUCGGUCAAGGGGUCAGCCCCCCUGUUCCUUCAGCAUAACCCUAUUCAAAUUGUACAUUUUCGUAUAGCACAUAAAGCAAAGACUUCGUAGUACAUUACAUAAGAGAUGAUGUGAUAAAAAAUAAUGAGAUUGAUUGCAUACUUUCUACUGAUUUUUAUGGAGCUUAUUUCCUAGAAAAAUGGCUCUAGCGAUCUUCCACAAUUAUGUAGUAUUUUUAUUUUAUUAGCUUCCUCAUUUAUUUAUUUGUUUAUUUAUUUUUAGGAUUACAUUUGGGAGAUGUAAUGGGUUGGGAUCACACCACCUAUGUUGGAAUUUUAUUUUUCUUAUAGGAUUAAAUUUGGGAGAUGUAAUGGGUUGGGAUCACACCACCUUAUAUGUUGGAAGUUUUAUUUUUUAUUUAUUUAUUUUUUUUAGGGUUACAUUUAGGAGAUGUAAUGGGGUGGGGAUCACACCACCUUAUAUGUUGGAUUUUUUAUUUUUUAUUUUUUAUAGGAUUACAUUUGGGAGAUGUAAUGCGUUGGGAUCACACCAUCUUAUAUUUUGGAAAUUUCCACCGUUGCAUUUAAGUGAAUCUAUCAUUUAAUAUCAUGCAUUUUUCACCUACAAUUGUGCUUGACUCUAUAUUGCUCUUAGUAUAUUAGAGGGUGUACCUUGAAUUGCAACAAACUUUAGUUAAAGGAACCAAUACAUGGCAAACAACAACCUUGCAGAAUAAAGCGUCGUAGAUGGAAAGUACAAGGGCCAGGUUGUAGCUUCCAGAAUGUUUUGAGACAGAUUUGCAUCCAUUGGAUAAGUUAGGGAUUGCAUUGGAUAGUCUAGAAAGAUCAAGGACCAGUUUGAAAACCCCAGAAAGUUCAGAGUUGCAUAUUGCUGAAAAAUUCAGGGACCAAGAUGUAGAUUUUUGAAAAAUUCCAGUACUGAUUUGAAAAACAUAGAAAAUGGAAAGACCACAAAUGGGGAAAAC